rnacentral:rRNA from 1 species
ACGGAAGGCAGCAGUGGGGAAUAUUGCACAAUGGGGGAAACCCUGAUGCAGCAACGCCGCGUGAGCGAUGAAGUAUUUCGGUAUGUAAAGCUCUAUCAGCAGGGAAGAAAAUGACGGUACCUGACUAAGAAGCACCGGCUAAAUACGUGCCAGCAGCCGCGGUAAUACGUAUGGUGCAAGCGUUAUCCGGAUUUACUGGGUGUAAAGGGAGCGUAGACGGAACAGCAAGUCUGAUGUGAAAGGUCAGGGCUCAACCCUGGAACUGCAUUGGAAACUGCUGAUCUGGAGUGCCGGAGGGGUAAGCGGAAUUCCUAGUGUAGCGGUGAAAUGCGUAGAUAUUAGGAGGAACACCAGUGGCGAAGGCGGCUUACUGGACGGUAACUGACGUUGAGGCUCGAAAGCGUGGGGAGCAAACAGGAUUAGAUACCCUGGUA